rnacentral:rRNA from 1 species
UACGGAGGGGGCAAGCGUUAUUCGGAAUUAUUGGGCGUAAAGGGCGCGUAGGCGGUUCGUCGCGUCGGCUGUGAAAUCCCGAGGCUCAACCUCGGGUCUGCAGUCGAUACGGGCGGACUGGAGUUCGGCAGGGGAGACUGGAAUUCCUGGUGUAGCGGUGAAAUGCGCAGAUAUCAGGAGGAACACCGGUGGCGAAGGCGGGUCUCUGGGCCGAUACUGACGCUGAGGAGCGAAAGCGUGGGGAGCGAACAGG